CAAUCGUCUCUCUCACUGGGGUCCUCGUCGCCACGGGAAUGGGAUGUCCAGUCCCAAGAGGCCCGGCGGGGCCCCAUGCCGUUGCUCCAGUCAGGCCGACAGGACGGCCCCAGUGGACUGUGAGCAGAACUACAUGAAGUGAAGCUCGGACUGUGGGAGCGCGGACUCAGAGAACGACUGACAGGGCUACGAGAUCUUGCACGUUCUGGCUUUAUGCCGAACAUCACAUGAACAAACGGGAAAACAGGUCUCAUUGCAUCCACUUGUUGGAGAAAGUGUUAACAGCAGUAUGAUCUGACAGUUGCAGUUAUGGACUUUUAAGUGACAUCUCUUCUCUGAUGAUGUGUUUACUGGUGUGAGGGCGGAGCAACCUGUCACUCACAUGAGAUCUAAGGCUGAAUUAUACCUGAUGCGUCGAGCGCAUGAGGAUGUAGUUGGUCACUUUGCCGAAGGGCAGCCCCAAGUUGAUGACAUCAUUCUCCGUGCAGCUGCCCUCUGGGAGGUUACAGAUAUGGACGACACGCCCCGGACAUGCCUUACGCUGAAGAAACUUUUAGAGUCCUUGACCUCAAAAUGGCCCUGCUUUGGUUUGCUACACUGAACUCUGAGACUUUUUUUUUUUUUAAGUGAGAGAAUAAAAAAUUAAUGAAUGAAUCUGAAAUGAAUUUUAAAAUUGUAAGAUUAUUUAAAAAAGAUACUGUUCAUUUGUAACAUUUGCUAAUUACAACAAAAUACAGUGCAAGAACUACAUUCUGACUCUGAUGUACAGUAUGAGAUUCAAAUUAGUUGCCCGUCUACUAAAAAAAUCGUUUACCAUCAGAUUUUUUUUGCUAGAAAGCCAAUCAAAAAAUAGUUUUCUCUUUUUGUCCUAAAUUUAAGUGGUGAGAUUUUCUUGCCAUUGUGUGACCAAAAUACAAAUCAUGAAAUAAUGUCUGGUCUCAGCUGAAUUUUACUGAUAGACUGGAUAUGUUGCUACACUGGGUUAAAAACAACCCAAGUUGAAAAUGGACAAACCCAUUGGUGGGUUAAAUGUUUGCCCAACGUGCUGGGUAGUUUUAUUUAACUCAACUAUUGUCGAAAAAUUACUAUAUGGAUGGCUUAAAAUGAACCCAACAUAGGUUGGAAAUUAAAAAUCAGACACAUAAUUACUAGAGGCAACAAUAAUAAUCUAAAGGUGAACAUUUAUUAAUAAGCAAUUUAAUAAACGUUUAUUGUUUCAUUAUUAUUCAUUAAACAUAUUAAUAAAUGUUCAUUUAUUAAACAAGUUAAUAAAUAUUAAUGUCCAACAUACUUUUGGUUCAUUUUAAGCAAGCAAUAAUGUAUGAUAAUGUGAUAAUGUAUAAUACUGUUUAUGAAAUAAAACUUUAUGUUUUGUGCUUUG